UAGCAUAGUAAUUUGUUUUUUAAUUGAGAACUGGAAUGAACGGUUUAACAAAAAGGAGUAUCUUUGUUUAGAGAAGUAAUUUGUGUUUCGGGUGAAAACACUCGAGUUUUAUUAAGGGACGAUAAGACCCUAAAAGCUUUAUUUCUAGUAGAUGGUUAUCUGUGUUAGCGUGAUAAGAGCUUUUUAUUAUAUUUAGCUGGGGUAGCUUUAUUAGACAAACUAACAGGUAAGUUAACAGUUUCUGAUGGUCUAUGGUCCUGUAUAUAAGGAUAAUUGGAAUUAGUUACUUUAGGGGUAACAGCGUAAUAUUCCCUAGGAGACCGUAUCUACGGGAAGGAUUGCGACCUCGAUGUUGAAUUAAAAGUUCUCUGAGCAGAAGAAGGUUCAGUAGAGGGUUUGUUCAACCCUUAAAAUUUUACAUGAUUU
rnacentral:rRNA from 1 species